GCAUGCCUGUUCGAGCGUCAUUUCAACCCUCAAGCUCUGCUUGGUGUUGGGGCCCUACAGCUGAUGUAGGCCCUCAAAGGUAGUGGCGGACCCUCCCGGAGCCUCCUUUGCGUAGUAACUUUACGUCUCGCACUGGGAUCCGGAGGGCACUCUUGCCGUAAAACCCCCCAAUUUUCCAAAGGUUGACCUCGGAUCAGGUAGGAAUACCCGCUGAACUUAAGCAUAUCAAUAAGCGGAGGAAAAGAAACCAACAGGGAUUGCCUCAGUAACGGCGAGUGAAGCGGCAACAGCUCAAAUUUGAAAUCUNGNCCCUAGGCCCGAGUUGUAAUUUGCAGAGGACGCUUUUGGUGCGGUGCCUUCCAAGUUCCCUAGAACGGGACGCCAGAGAGGGUGAGAGCCCCGUACAGUUGGACACCAAGCCUUUGUAAAGCUCCUUCGACGAGUCGAGUAGUUUGGGAAUGCUGCUCAAAAUGGGAGGUAUAUUUCUUCUAAAGCUAAAUACCGGCCAGAGACCGAUAGCGCACAAGUAGAGUGAUCGAAAGAUGAAAAGCACUUUGAAAAGAGGGUUAAACAGCACGUGAAAUUGUUAAAAGGGAAGCGCUUGUGACCAGACUUGCGUCCGGUGAAUCACCCAGCUCUCGCGGCUGGGGCACUUCGCCGGCUCAGGCCAGCAUCAGCUCGCUGUCGGGGACAAAAGCUUCGGGAACGUAGCUCUCUUCGGGGAGUGUUAUAGCCUGUUGCACAAUACCUUCGGCGGGCUGAGGUACGCCGUCCGCAAGGAUGCUGGCAUAAUGGUCAUCAGCGACCCGUCUUGAAACACGGACCAAGGAGUCAACCUUAUGUGCGAGUGUUCGGGUGUCAAACCCCUACGCGUAAUGAAAGU
rnacentral:rRNA from 1 species